CUGCGGUGAUGUCUUUCUUAGGACACCUUUGGAUUUACCGUAAAAAGUACUUUUUGGUUUUUUGAGACAGG
rfam:Fukomys damarensis contig87357, whole genome shotgun sequence.